AGAGAAAAUCGAAAAUCGACCUCUCUUAAGUACCUCCCUAGUGAAAUUUGCUUUUCGAAAAAUUGCAGAAGAAGAAGUCAGGACUGAAGUAGUUUUCGGCGUUUGUGCAAGCAGUCUUCAUUAAUACUCAAUACUAAAAUUCACAAUACACUUAUACACGAAAUUACGGCUACAUAUAAUGGCUACUAAUGGCAUAGGGAAAAAAAGCCCCGAAAAGCGAACAAUUUUUAUUUAAUAUUUACCUAUUACAAACAAUACAAUCAGAUAUUCUUACAAUAACCGAUAUGAAUAAAUUGAAUACAAUUAAUAUACUAAAAUUUUUAUUUGAAAACUCUAAGACCGAAUACACAAUAUGACAUAUAUUUGGUACCCAUACCUACUAUAGAUUGUUUUAUACUA